CCCUUAGAUGUUCUGGGCAGCACGCGCGCUACAAUGGUCUUCGCAAACGGAUGCAUUCUCGAAGGAGAAUGCCAAUCUUGGAAUCUAUGCCUUGGUCGGGACAGUUGCUUGCAAUUUUUCGACUCGAACCAGGAAUUCCUAGUAAUCGUGAUUCAUCACAUCACGAUGAAUACGUCCCUGCCCUUUGUACACACCGCCCGUCGCUCCUACCGAUCGAAGAGUUAGGUGAAUUGUUUUGAUCGAUAAGAUUUGACUAUGGUCAACUCUCGUUGUGAAAUUCUGUGAAUCUGACUGUUUAGAGGAAGGAAAAGUCGUAACA
rnacentral:rRNA from 1 species